UAUUUAUAUAUAGAUACACACACACACAAAUGUGUCCCUAGGUUUUUAUGAGCCCUGGGCAGGUGCCCUGGUAGCCUUGGCCCAGGGUCGGCUCUGCCCUCACCCCUCUCUUUUUCGGGUUAGAAGAGGAGAGGGCAGCCACUCCGCCAUCCACAACCCUUCAUCGACAGCUUCCCCUUCUUCUCUUCAAGUUAGAAGUGAAGAAAUCCUUUACUUCAUCCGGGUAGCACUUCCUCCUUCCGGCGAUCCCGUAACUCUGGCUUCAUCAAAUCCGACCACAAAUAAUCCAUUCAACGUCCCGGGCAGCAACGCAUUUGAAAUGUUAAAAUAUAUUGUCGUAUAAGGCCACCUUUUGAAGAUGAAGGUUUUUCUAUAAUUGAGCUUCUAGAUGAAUUCACAGUUUAAGUAAACACCAAUGAUGAUUCUCUUGUCAAUCCUAAAAAGGAUUAUGAAUUUGAUCGAGUAUAUAUAUGGCCCUCAUGUUGGACAAGGGGAAUUGUUUUGCGAUGUUCACCUAUUUGUGCAGUCAGCUUGGAUAGAUAUAAUGUAUCUAUAUUUGCAUAUGGCCAAAGCGCCUCUUGGAAGAGACAAUGAUUUCCUCCAUUCGUUGGAUCCUCUUGAUGUCAUGUCAUUACUUCUCUCUUUUAGCUAUAUGUAUUAAAUAUGUUAUUGAAGGUUGGAGAAGACUUGUUAUUAAAAAUUGUAUAUAUUUUAGAAAUUGAAGAAGGUUUUGUGGUACAUUGUGGAGAAAAAUGUAAAUGAGAUAUAUUAAUAUUUUGAAAUGUAAUAUGAAUAUUAUAUGUUG